rnacentral:rRNA from 1 species
GAUGAACGCUAGCUACAGGCUUAACACAUGCAAGUCGAGGGGAAACGAUAUUGGAAGCUUGCUUCCGAUAGGCGUCGACCGGCGCACGGGUGAGUAACGCGUAUCCAACCUGCCCAUCACUUGGGGAUAACCUUGCGAAAGUAAGACUAAUACCCAAUGACGUCUCUAGAAGACAUCUGAAGGAGAUUAAAGAUUUAUCGGUGAUGGAUGGGGAUGCGUCUGAUUAGCUUGUUGGCGGGGUAACGGCCCACCAAGGCGACGAUCAGUAGGGGUUCUGAGAGGAAGGUCCCCCACAUUGGAACUGAGACACGGUCCAAAACUCCUACGGGAGGCAGCAGUGAGGAAUAUUGGUCAAUGGGCGAGAGCCUGAACCAGCCAAGUAGCGUGCAGGAUGACAGCCCUAUGGGUUGUAAAACUGCUUUUAUAAGGGAAUAAAAGUGGGAGUCGUGACUCUUUUUGCAUGUACCUUAUGAAUAAGGAUCGACUAAACUCCGUGCCAGCAG